CGCGGAGUGGAGCAGUUGGUAGCUCGUCGGGCUCAUAACCCGAAGGUCGUAGGUUCAAGUCCUGUCCCCGCAACCA
rnacentral:tRNA from 1 species